AAGUGUAAUAGUUCUUUUAGAAUUUGUCUAGCAGAUCUUCUGGUCUACACUGGAAGGCCACC
rnacentral:snRNA from 1 species